UGGGGGAUAUUGCACAAUGGGCGAAAGCCUGAUGCAGCGACGCCGCGUGAGGGAAGACGGCCUUCGGGUUGUAAACCUCUGUCAUUCGGGACGAAAAGAUGACGGUACCGAAGAAGGAAGCUCCGGCUAACUACGUGCCAGCAGCCGCGGUAAUACGUAGGGAGCGAGCGUUGUCCGGAAUUACUGGGUGUAAAGGGAGCGUAGGCGGGAAAGCAAGUUGGAAGUGAAAUGCAUGGGCUUAACCCAUGAGCUGCUUUCAAAACUGUUUUUCUUGAGUGAAGUAGAGGCAGGCGGAAUUCCUAGUGUAGCGGUGAAAUGCGUAGAUAUUAGGAGGAACACCAGUGGCGAAGGCGGCCUGCUGGGCUUUAACUGACGCUGAGGCUCGAAAGCGUGGGUAGCAAACAGGAUUAGAUACCCUGGUAGUCCACGCUGUAAACGAUGAUUACUAGGUGUGGGGGAUUUCGGUCCUCCGUGCCGGAGCAAACGCAAUAAGUAAUCCACCUGGGGAGUACGGCCGCAAGGCUGAAACUCAAAGGAAUUGACGGGGGCCCGCACAAGCAGUGGAUUAUGUGGUUUAAUUCGAAGCAACGCGAAGAACCUUACCAGGUCUUGACAUCCGAUGCAUAGCUCAGAGAUGAGUGAAAUCCCUUCGGGGACAUCGAGACAGGUGGUGCAUGGUUGUCGUCAGCUCGUGUCGUGAGAUGUUGGGUUAAGUCCCGCAACGAGCGCAACCCCUAUUGAUAGUUGCUACGCAAGAGCACUCUAUCGAGACUGCCGUUGACAAAACGGAGGAAGGUGGGGAUGACGUCAAAUCAUCAUGCCCUUUAUGACCUGGGCUACACACGUAAUACAAUGGCGCAAAACAGAGGGAAGCAAGACCGCGAGGUGGAGCAAAACCCUAAAAGGCGUCUUAGUUCAGAUUGCAGGCUGCAACUCGCCUGCAUGAAGGUGGAAUUGCUAGUAAUCGCGGAUCAGCAUGCCGCGGUGAAUACGUUCCC
rnacentral:rRNA from 1 species